ensembl:misc_RNA Metazoa_SRP Metazoan signal recognition particle RNA
GCUGGGCACGGUGGCGGGCGCCUGUAAUCCCAGCUACUUGGGAGGCUGAGGUGGGAGGAUAGCUUGAGCCUGGGAGAUCGAGGCUGCAGUGAGCCGUGAUUACACCACUGCACUCCAGCCUGGGUGACAGAGCAAGACCCCAUUUCAA